CACAAUUUUCUCCGUAGUAUUUUGAGACAUCAUCAUCUUUUCAAAUAAAAGCAAAAGAUUUUCUUUCUCCCCCUGCAGCCUGGAAACCGUCCUUGCUACAAGUGACACAACGCAAUAACCCGGUUCUCUCGGGGCAGAGGCAAGACAUGGACAUAGUGAUAGCCAUGCUUAUUUCUGUAUGUGCAUUACAAAUCAUGAGUGCACACCAGUACCCGGUAUCCCCAGGUCCAGGCCAGCGUGACAAGGUACUUUGAAAGGUCUGUAUUCUGCCACAGGUGUAUUCCACUAAAGCAGGACAGAUUCCACACCAUGUGUGCAUGCUCUGUUCUUCUGGGUCUGUUUGCUGCCUCUCCGACUGCUCUGGUAUCUUCAAUGAGAUCUUAAAACUAUAUGGAAGAUUGAGCUGUGACACCAAUGACCUCAGCGAGCAUGGCUGCCGUGAUGGUGGUCCUAUGGGGAACAUUUGCCAACAACUGAGUGACUCAGGCCUGGCUGCAGAGCCAAGGUCCUCCAAUAGGCAUGUGGGCUGGAUGCCAGAGGAGACUUCGCUCAGGGACAUGGCACAUUUCUCAUGAAAUGGAGAGCUGAUUUCAACCAGCCACCUCAGCCCUGCUAACUGCUGACUUCUGACUUUCUCUAAAUGAGAAACGUGAAGGCGUGUUUGUAUGUUUUAGACAGGAGGGACAGUUGUGAGCAAUUUUUCCAUGGCUAACUUGCAACUCAGUCCUUCCUUUGCUUUGGGUUGCUUCAUAUCGAAUGAUGGCUUGAAUGUGCUGGAGCCUUACCUAGGUUAGCGUACAUUUAUUCACACAUAAUGAAAAAGAUCAAUGUGAAGGAAAUGAAGGGACACAGUAUGGUCAUUAUACCUUUCAUAAUAAACACUGUGCGGCCAGCGUCU
ensembl:antisense A230009B12Rik RIKEN cDNA A230009B12 gene